UCCCGCAAGACGAAAGAGGUGAGCAAGGGAGUGCGGCACUGCAUUAGCCAGCUAGGUUUACUCCCAAAAACCCGACUUCUUCGGGACCAAUACUCUGAUUGGUUUGGUUUGCUCUGACCUGCUCGUACAAUUAGGACACAGUUUAGAUUUGGCCAAAGUUGGAUAAAUGCAAACUGACCAGACCCUCUAUCAAGCUAGAACACAUAGCGACUCUGUAUCUACCACAUAGCUUUGUCUGCAACCACCAACACAAGGACCAUCGCCCCAACCAGAACACCGAAGAUUUUUGUUAUGCAAACAUCAAAACAGAUCAUCCAAAAGAGAGUUUACCUUAGACUACGGUAUAUAAUGCAGCCCAACUCCACAGAAGAUUCUCAAACAACGGAUCAGCCAUCAGAGCAAUUUAAAGAUAGAGAGGGACACUUCUUUAGGUUGUACCGACUGAGUAGUCCCAAAACCCACCACAUGAGUCUGAUCCUGUCAAUUCACACAAGAUUAGUAGCUCUUUAGCUCCAAAAUAUUGAGAAAAGUGCAUCAACUAAUAGUGAAAAAGGUGAAAAUACAUGCCAAAAUUUCUCUGUCCCAUUAAAUUUCUAUCCCAGUCAGACCAGUUACACCCUUCCUCUGCGUAUUCUCUGAUAUAUGCUUUGAAA
rnacentral:lncRNA from 1 species